rnacentral:lncRNA from 1 species
AAUUGUCGGUCUUGUCCACAUGGACGAUGUUGAAGCUCCUACACCGACCGUUUUCUCCAUAAUCUUUCAAUAUACCUAAGGAAAUCUUUUCUGAUGUGGAAGAUCAGUUUAAACUGCAACCACAGAGCAUACUACGAUUAACCUUCGGCUCUUGAUACCACUUGUAGUUCCAAUAGGGUCGGAAGCGUGUAAAUUAUUGUACUAAAAAAUCACACAAAGUUCAAUUCCCA